rnacentral:rRNA from 1 species
UAGGGAAUCUUCCACAAUGGACGCAAGUCUGAUGGAGCAACGCCGCGUGAGUGAAGAAGGUUUUCGGAUCGUAAAGCUCUGUUGUUGGUGAAGAAGGAUAGAGGCAGUAACUGGUCUUUAUUUGACGGUAAUCAACCAGAAAGUCACGGCUAACCACGUGCCAGCAGCCGCGGUAAUACGUAGGUGGCAAGCGUUGUCCGGAUUUAUUGGGCGUAAAGCGAGCGCAGGCGGAAUGAUAAGUCUGAUGUGAAAGCCCACGGCUCAACCGUGGAACUGCAUCGGAAACUGUCAUUCUUGAGUGCAGAAGAGGAGAGUGGAAUUCCAUGUGUAGCGGUGGAAUGCGUAGAUAUAUGGAAGAACACCAGUGGCGAAGGCGGCUCUCUGGUCUGCAACUGACGCUGAGGCUCGAAAGCAUGGGUAGCGAACAGG